rnacentral:rRNA from 1 species
CCUACGGGAGGCAGCAGUGAGGAAUAUUGGUCAAUGGCCGAGAGGCUGAACCAGCCAAGUCGCGUGAGGGAAGACGGCCCUACGGGUUGUAAACCUCUUUUGUCGGGGAGCAAAGCGAGUCACGUGUGACUCAUUCAGAGUACCCGAAGAAAAAGCAUCGGCUAACUCCGUGCCAGCAGCCGCGGUAAUCCGGAGGAUGCGAGCGUUAUCCGGAUUUAUAGGGUUUAAAGGGUGCGCAGGCGGAGGUGCAAGUCAGCGGUCAAAUUGAGGGGCUCAACCCCGUACUGCCGUUGAAACUGCAUGCCUUGAGUGCGCGAGAAGUAUGCGGAAUGCGUGGUGUAGCGGUGAAAUGCAUAGAUAUCACGCAGAACUCCGAUUGCGAAGGCAGCAUACCGGCGCGCAACUGACGCUCAUGCACGAAAGCGUGGGGAUCGAACAGGAUUAGAUACCCGUGUAGUC